GUUUUUUACCUGUUUUUGAGGUUAAAACCUCCGUGUUUUUGAUUCCGCUGGGGGGUCCGGGUCUCCGCUGGGGGGGGCGCUCGUCGCCGCCUCCUCCCUCCGAAGACCAACCCCGGUCGUGUCUGAUGGUUGGCGGAAACCCUAAAUUUCCUUUUGAAAUUAGAGUGGUUACAGCAGGGUAAGCCGGUCUUGCAUAUUUUGGCAUGGGCUUGGAAAUAUGACCUUGCUGCUAUUUUGUUGGGUUCUAACUCAAAGAUAAUGAAGAAAAGGGACGAGGGGACGAUUCGUGGCCCGCGGGUUGACGUUAAUUAGGAGACUUUCAUGGACCUAGCCAAAGCGAAAACCUUUGAAAGGUUUCUUUUCUCUGAAACUCUUUAAAGUUAAGCAAAAACAAACGGAUAGAUAACGACCCAAUCCCAUCCUAAUUUUUAUCUAAUCUAGAGUGGAGGAUGUUUACUGAUUGACUCCUUCAGCGCCUUACGGGAAAUUAUGUCUUUCGGGGGCUGGGGGAGCAAGAUGGAGAGUCUGAAACUUAUAGGCAGAGAGGGAACGCCUCCGCCAGGACUGGCCCCGCAGUUAAAUUGAACUCAACACUUGGACACUUACCCGGGGACCUUACCCAGGGACCGGAAUGACUGAUAGAUCGCUCUUUGGGUGAUCCGCUGGGGGGGGGGCCGGAAG
rnacentral:rRNA from 1 species